CACGUAGGGGACGAGCGUUGUCCGGAUUCAUUGGGCGUAAAGGGUGCGUAGGCGGCCCCGUAAGUCAGUGCUGAAAUAUCCCGGCUUAACCGGGAGGGUGGCAUUGAUACUGCGAGGCUUGAGUAAAGUUGAGGUAGGCGGAAUUGACGGUGUAGCGGUGAAAUGCUUAGAUAUCGUCAAGAACACCGAUAGUGUAGACAGCUUACUAAGCUUUAACUGACGCUGAGGCACGAAAGUGUGGGGAUCAAACAGG
rnacentral:rRNA from 1 species